UUUUAUUUUUUUUACAGAUAUGAUGAGUUUGUGGAAAAAUACUGCCUAACCUGUCACGGCCAUCAGCACACUGCUGCCAGUGAUGCUUUCAUCUCUUUGCUUUAAAAAGGAUGCAUCCUGAGAUGGGGUUAGGGGCAAAAAGGAAAGAAAAAGUUGAUUACUGAACUGGAGAAAAGAGCUAGUGUUUAGCUGAAGGCAAAAAAACCCCUUUUUGAGUCACCUCCUCAGAGUGACUAUCAUAAUAAUUAUGUGACAAACUAUCAACUUGUAGCUCAGUAGCUGUUGAACAUAUCUGCUGAUUGUGAAGUAUGCGCCUAACAACAUAAAGGCACUACAAGAGGAGGAAUAGUAUAAAAGACAGAAAUAAAAUUCAACUCAUGAUGGCUGUCUGUACAUUUAGAAUUUGCAAAGUUUGUGCUCAUCUCCAAAAGCACUGAAGGAAAGGAAGAAACUGGAAAGGACUGACUGAUAGUCUAAGAAUGUCUCAGUGUGUCAUCACAGAGUAAUUUUUUAUUUUCGUGUUCUGUGCUUUAUCAAUAAAAUAUACCUCUGAAAUAUAUAUGUGAGAAAAUACAAUGCUCGCAGGGAAUGAGGCUGGGUCAUGACAUUUCCCAGGAUGUCACUUUGGUGAAGAUCACUGGGAGAUGCCUCCAUCAGUGCCCAGCAUCCUUUUGUGUGACCGUGCUGCCUCUCACUACAGCUCCCUCCUUGGCAGAAACACUCCAUGUGGUGUGCUCAGAGGGAAGUCUUCCGUGUGAACAUUUUCGGCAAAAAGCAUUAAAGGCAAAAGUGCAAACAAUCUGGCGAGAGUAAAUAUAGCAUCUGCAAUGCAGGUGCAUUCCAUUUGCUCAGUGAGCUCUCCAAGCAGAUCAGGGCUUGGUUUGGUUUUUUUUUUUUUUUAAUAGGGGGGAUAUACAUUGUCUAAACUCUUUCUCUGCUGUCACUACCUUGUCAGAUUCCGAUUUUGCAGACUGUCCCUGUGGCAGCUGCAGGAGAAGCAGCAAGAGGAAGAUCAAUGCCCGCCUCCUGCUUUUCCAGCAGAACUGUUUUGAAAACUCUGUAAGCUGAACACGAGCCUUUAGGGAAUGUUUGAAGAUAAUAAAUAUCUAAUGAUAACAGGGGACUAUUGCCUUGAGGAGACAAUGACUUGUUCUCCUUUGGAGGCAAACUGGCUAACUAUGAAGUAUCUGAGGCUAACUGUAAAUUACCUCUGUGAGGCACACCCCAUACAAUCACAAGGCUUUCAUCUAGUUAAUGUAAGAAAUAAAACCAUUUUCACAUGGCCAAACUGGCUGGAGCUGUCAGCAAAAAAGUGAGAAACUUUAUAAAGGUGAAAAUGGCCAAUGUACCGAAAGGUACAUAAACCUGGAACUGAGCUGAACUGGAAGUAAUCCACCUGAAGAACACAGAAGACACUUGACUUUUCCCAUAGCCAUACAAAUGGUGCUGUGUUGCUGGUGGGGCACAGUUGUGCACAAAUGAGUUUGGAAAGAGGAUUUUUCAGUUUGGAAUAAACUCACGACUUGAUGGCAAUGAAGAGGGAUUUUUAGGGUGGUAAAAUAAAUAUUCCAGAGUGCUAUUCAAGUCAUGUCCAUGUGACCCUAUGAAUCUGGGAAUAUCUGGAGUUUGAGCCUCUUUUGCUGCAACUGGUCAUGAGGGUUAUGCCUAAGCCGGUAAGUGAGACCUACCAAGAGCAGCAUGGACAGUGAGUGAUGCUGGAAAAUCCAUCAAAAGGAGUUUAUCACAAUGGAAAAUAAAUUAGAUUGGUCCAGUUCCUCUUCAUGGGUUACUCGAGGCUUAAAAAAGGCAGUAGCUACAAAUAUGUCACCUGAGUAUUUGGAAUUGAUUUAGUAUAUCACAAUCUGUUACUCCAUUUCCGAGACAAGCUCCCCCCAGAAAAUUCUGAACUACAGUUUCAGAGUCUGUUGUCAUUUGCUUUAAGGAAAAUUUCUGUAGUUUAAUCUUAUGAUCCUAGAAAUUAUGUUAGCAGCUUGGGUUUUCUGAAACCAAUGAAACAUUCAAAUGGCAGAUGGUGUGCAGGCUCAGCAGAGAUAAAGGUUGCGUGACUGUGCUAGGAAUAAAACAUAAAUGGCCUGGUACAUUGUGUUUGGUGGAGUUUUUUGGUUAGGAGGGAUUUUUAUUGUAUUUUUUUCUUACAACACACACCCUGUAGGCACAUCUGCAUCAUCUUUUAUAAUGCAGUAAGGAAAAAAAAAAGCUUCUUGCAUUGCUGACACAGUUUCUGUGACUGGAUGACUGUCAAACUAAUUUAAAUUAAAAAAACCUAUUUACAAAUAUAGUACAGAGAAACGAUAUUUGAUCCAAUGGACAGACUGAAGUCUGUCCCAAGGGCUACUGCUCUUAUCCUGACAGUAAUGUGCAUGAACAAUGUAUUUCUCCCUAAUUAAAAUGAGUUAAUAUCACUAACCAAGAUGCUUGAAAAACUGCAGAAGAAAACACAUUGUAAGCAUUCAGUGUUAUUAACUGUUACGACAGAAACCAUGUUUCUUUGCAUCAAAAAUUCUUCCAAAUUUCCAUAUUUAUGCAAAAACGUUUUUAAAGCCUAAACCUCUCAAAUAUAUUUCAACAGCAGGAAAAAAAGCUUCAUAAUUCUGAUCAACAGAAAGAUGCAUAAUUAUAUGAAUUUUCUUCGAGGAAAGAUAUAGCAUAUGUUGUUUAUUUAUCACAGGUCUUUUGCACUGUCUCUGCUUUUAUGAGGGAUACUGCUGAGCAGCAGUCAUUGCCUGAAGAGAGCAAAGGUUUCUAUGCCAGGAUUAAGGUAAUGCCAAUAACCUUGAUUUACUGACUUGGCACAUCCCUAGGGAAUUUAUACAUUAUCAGACAUGCUUUGAAAAAAAAGACACAGGAACUUAAACCCUGAUCAUCAUAACCAGUAUUGCUUUCAUGUUCACUUUGAUAAAACGGCUUUCAGUCUGUUUGUUAUGGUAUUAUGGGAAGGCACACCUACAAGGAUGAUUUGUUGUAGUUCAAAAGUGAAGACAAAAAUGAACUUUUAUGGUCAGGCACUUAAAAUGCUGAAGAUAAAUUCACACUGAGUGCAAAAGCCAGGUCUAAUCCCACUCAAGGAUUAGACUGUCACUGUGGCAGCCCAGGAAAUUUUGAGAUCUUCUGAGCAUCUAAGAUUUAUGCCUCCACGAAUGGUGUUCAAAAAAUCUGGCAGCCCUUUCUGUCCGAUGACUGAAGAACAGUUUCAGGUUUCUUGGAAAUGUCAGAAUUUCACAGGGAAUGGAAAUUCCCAUUUCUGAGUAACCCCAAGUGCUGUUUCUGCUCUUGUCCCAGGAGAACAGACAGACAGAAAUGGCACAACCUGAGCUCUCUCCCCAGUGCAUGAGCCACCAAAGCUGUAAUGUAUUAUGUACAGAGAAAUUCAUCUUCCUGCCAUAGCAAAGAAGAGGAAUAGGGCAAAAAAUUGCACUCACUUUGCACCUGGAGCCGAGUACAGAAGCAAUUAGACACUAUGUAUGACAACUGCACACAUUUUCUUAAUUGCCAAGUAUUUUAAGAAUUUCACCUUAUAAAGUAAAAGACCAUUAUUAUGAAGAUUAUUACUAUGAGGAUUAUUACAAAGAUUAUUAUUUUACAAGCAAUUAUAUAUUUUCAUAAUUGAUUAAAAACUAUUCACAAUUUCAUAAAGAUUGGUAUUUUCUAAUUAAUCUGUCAUAAUGAACUAAAAUUAUUUUCUUAUUUCUAGUUUUUACCAGAAUCAUUACAAAUUGCAGAGGAUGGCAAAGAACAUGAUUUGACCAUUCUGAGUACUGUACCCAUUGUCUCUCCACGGCAUGAUGAUUCUUGUAAAAUUACUCUGCAACUAAGUAUCGAGGAUUUGGGUAAGAGUUUUAUAUAUUGGCAUCAAAUCAAUGUGCUUACUUUCCCCUGCAUUUAUGUUACAAUAAAUUCUCAUAGAAAUUAUAAGACGUAAAUAACAGCAAAGGGGCAGAAGCCAUAAUAUCAGCAAGCUAGGUCAUAUAUUUGGUUGCGAAAUAAAAUAGAUGAUAAUAUCAUGCAGAGGUUUUAGGAAAAAAAAAAAAAAAAG
rnacentral:lncRNA from 1 species